AUUGAACGCUGGCGGCAGGCCUAACACAUGCAAGUCGAGCGAGCGGCGGACGGGUGAGUAAUGUAUGGGGACUGCCUGAUGGCGGGUGAUCACUACUGGAAACGGUAGCUACUACCGCAUACCCUCAGAUAACCCAUAUGGGUUUAGCUUGUAGUUGGGGUAACGGCUCACCUAGGCGACGAUCCCUCCCUGGUCUGAGAGUGUGAUCAGCCACACUGGGACUGAGACACGGCCCAGACUCCUACGGAGGCAGCAGUGGGGAAUAUUGCACAAUGGGCGCAAGCCUGAGGCAGCCAUGCCGCGUGUAUGAAGAAGGCCCUAGGGUUGUAAAGUACUUUCAGUAGGGAGGCGUUACCGACAGAAGAAGCACCGGCUAACUCCGUGCCAGCAGCCGCGGUAAUUC
rnacentral:rRNA from 1 species